GCUACUCCUGUGACACCUGCAGAUGGGUAUAUUUACCUGCGACGUGACUCAGGUUGCAUUUUCUGUUGGUGACCGAAGUAAUGGGAGUGUUUUGGGCCUUGCUUGUUUCUGUGCUGACUGUCUGGUUUACCAAAGGCUCUGGUUUGCCGGUUGGUGGCAAGAAUGAAAUGAGUGGUAAUGGGCAGCAGAGGACAAUGAGAGAUCUAUCUCCUAAUGACUCCUCCAUGAAGAAGGCCCUUACACUUCAGCAUUCACUUGAGUCUGUGUUGCUGAGGAAGUCUAAAGAAGUCUGGCAUAAAUCCUGCUUCAGAAAAAUUAGGAAUGAUAACCAACACCCAUUAGAGUUUCUGGAUCAAAUAUCUAAUGGGGAUGAUGACGCCAAUGAGUGUGUUGGGGGAAUGUGACCUUUCAUGUGAGACCGUGAUCUAUGGCAGUCCAGGAUUACCAGUUCCCACAACACAACUGGCAAAGCUUUCCAAAUUGCUUUUAUCGAUGGAGAAAGGGAAUCUUUCCAGCAUGCAGCGAAAAUCACUGGAUGAAAUGGAAGUGGAAGAUGAAAUUGCAUUAAGCGACGCUGAAGACCAGGACAGUGGGUGUGAAUCCGUUGACGGUUGCACAGCAGGCAGAGCAUCAGAGGGUGAGACUAGCGAGCCUGUAAAUCCUGCAUCAGACUCUACAAUCACCAAGCAGGUCCAUGACUUUGAAGAUGCAGCAGGAAGCGUGUCAUCCACAGUAAAUGAGAACUACCCUCUCUCUGAAGGUAAGCUAAGUUUGAUGGAAAAGAUGCUGUGUCCAGAAGAGGGACAAAGAGCGUGGUCUAAAGUUGAGGUUCAAGCAAAGACCACAUUCGUAAAGGUCACCUGGCCACCAAGAACGAAUGCAGUCACUGCAAGUUGGUGGGAGGACCAGUCUUGGAACAAAAAACUGUGCAAAAUGUCACACACUUCGUCCGGAAUCGGAACAUCCGAAAAAAGACGGUCCCAGCUGAAAACAUACGUUUUUGUUAUUUGUUCUACAUCCUUUUUUCCCACGGCACGGGCAGUCUUUUAAUCUGUUGACAUGCAAAGGUCAUUCACCUCAUCAUAAUGUAAUAAUGCUCUAAUACUGUCAUAAAUUCUUAAUGGCUGAAAUCUUCAA